CGANAAGAAUAAGCACCGGCUAACUACGUGCCAGCAGCCGCGGUAAUACGUAGGGUGCGAGCGUUAAUCGGAAUUACUGGGCGUAAAGCGUGCGCAGGCGGUUUUGUAAGACAGAUGUGAAAUCCCCGGGCUCAACCUGGGACCUGCAUUUGUGACUGCAAAGCUAGAGUACGGCAGAGGGGGAUGGAAUUCCGCGUGUAGCAGUGAAAUGCGUAGAUAUGCGGAGGAACACCGAUGGCGAAGGCAAUCCCCUGGGCCUGUACUGACGCUCAUGCACGAAAGCGUGGGGAGCAAACAGGAUUAGAUACCCUGGUAGUCCACGCCCUAAACGAUGUCAACUGGUUGUUGGGUCUUCACUGACUCAGUAACGA
rnacentral:rRNA from 1 species